UACGUAGGGGGCUAGCGUUGUCCGGAAUCAUUGGGCGUAAAGAGCGUGUAGGCGGCCCGGUAAGUCCGCUGUAAAAGUCAAAGGCUCAACCUUUGAAUGCCAGUGGAUACUGCCGGGCUAGAGUCCGGAAGAGGCGAGUGGAACUCCUGGUGUAGCGGUGGAAUGCGCAGAUAUCAGGAAGAACACCAACGGCGAAGGCAGCUCGCUGGGACGGUACUGACGCUGAGACGCGAAAGCGUGGGGAGCGAACAGG
rnacentral:rRNA from 1 species